rnacentral:rRNA from 1 species
GACGAACGCUGGCGGCGUGCUUAACACAUGCAAGUCGAACGGAAAGGCCCUGCUUUUGUGGGGUGCUCGAGUGGCGAACGGGUGAGUAACACGUGAGUAACCUGCCCUUGACUUUGGGAUAACUUCAGGAAAAUGGGGCUAAUAACGGAUAGGAGCUCCUGAUGCAUGGUGGGGGAUGGAAAGAUUCGGCGGUUGGGGAUGGACUCGCGGCUUAUCAGCUUGUUGGUGGGGUAGUGGCUUACCAAGGCUUUGACGGGUAGCCGGCCUGAGAGGGUGACCGGCCACAUUGGGACUGAGAUACGGCCCAGACUCCUACGGGCGGCAGCAGUGGGGAAUAUUGCACAAUGGGCGGAAGCGUGAUGCAGCAACGCCGCGUGCGGGAUGCCGGCCUUCGGGUUGUAAACCGCUUUCGCCUGUGACGAAGCGUGAGUGACGGUAAUGGGUAAAGAAGCCCCGGCUAACUACGUG